rnacentral:lncRNA from 1 species
UUUCUCUAGCACGCCGUUGGCCUCGCGGGAGAACCGCAUCGCAUCUCUCGUCCGAGAAGAUAAGAUUUGUGUUCCCUAUCAGCGUCCCCCGGUUUCUGCAUGAAAACCAAGCAUGCAUCACAGCUGGCAAACAAGGCAAAAGAAGAUGCAUAAGGGUACCUGAAAUGAAGCAGCUUCAAGGGAGCAGAGGAUGAAGAGCAGAUCUCCAAGCAUUAGAGGAGCAAAGCAGCAAGCCUCCCCACUCAAGAGCAUUAUUUCAAGCUCCAGCUCCUGGAACAGAAUAGCAUUACCAUGCACCCAAAGACCUCAAGCUGCUGCUUACCACAGACAGAAGGGGAACCACACCACUCUGAGCAGCAGCAGCAGCUUAAAUCCUUGGUCUCGCACGGGGAGCCCCUACAAGAAGGAGGCAGCGCUUAAUAAGAUUAGCAAAUGUUUAAGUCUGAG